GCUUUUAUGUGUGCAUUUGGGGGACUGGUGGAAUUACCCUAAGGAGCCAUUAUGGCAUUGAUCCAGACUUGUGCACCUUAUUAAUUAUAUACUACAAGUUUUUUUUUUUUUAAGUACAUGAAUGCUGUUAAACCUAAUGGACUUAACUGAGGCCAGUCAUAGUUCAGGGCAGGAGAGUAUGUUGGAUAGAGAAUUAUAUGACCCAGUAGGACUUUUUAUACAUUAUUAUAAAUUAUCUAAUUAAUGAAAAUGUUCUAAGGAAUUCACUUUCUCCAUCCUGAAAUACACUCCUGAGGGAAUUAAUCCUGUGAAAGAGGGCUUGGAUCCAAUAUAUAAUUCUCCAAACAUACCAUGUUUUUACAGAUUUACAGAAACAUAAGUGAGACUUUCACUGGGCCUCUUUUAUUUUACUAAGUCACUAAACAGGGAAGACUCCAAAAGGAAAUUGCUCAACAGAUCCAGAUGUUGCUUGAAGAAUGUUUUCCUUUGAUGGAUCUACACUGAGUGGCUUGGAGGAGGAAGUCUGCAUUUGCCAGUUGCUCUGAAGUUCAUGUUCUGCUAUUCCUCAGAGCAAUACUUCAUCCUGUCAAAAUUUUAGGGACAGAAUAUGUUUUCCAUUGGCUUAAAUGUGAAAGUAAAUGAAGCAAUCUCAACAGUGUUCUUCAGACUUACUGGUUGGAUGCAUACAGGAUCAAUGGGGUUGUUAUUUUAAUUGCAGUUCUAAUUACAUUUUAGAGCUUUAACUGCCUGGCAGAAUGGUACCAACUUUCUUGGGUCUCAAGAAGCUACUGUAAGCUAAAUGGGGUUGGACCACUAGGCAUUUCCAAAGGUGUAUGUAGGAUGUGUUGGAAGAAGAAGACAAUGGCAAAUCACUUGCAUAUGAAACAUAACAACUUGCUAUGGUCAUGUAAUCAUUAGGAGUCAAAUUUAACUCAACUCAAGAGAAAUGUUACCUUUUAAUCUAUUUUGGGCAUAAGGAGGAAAAGUUAGCCUGGAAAACCGCAAAGACUUGAGACUAAGUCAUUCCUUCCCAUACUGAUGGGCUGAUGAUAUUUUUGCAGCCUUUAGUAACUUUCCUUUGAGGAGCUUCCUUAUGUCCCCAAAUAUCAUGGAAUUUUCAAUGCUCACUUAAAGUUGUUGCUUUCUUUUUUCCUUUUCAGCAUGAAAAGUUGGCUCAGGAGAAUAUGAUUUGGAAUGGAGAAAAAAAAUAGGGAGGAGAACUGAACUUUUUCCUUGCUCAUUAUUUCAGUGCUCUCAACUGCUGUUUUCAAGGCUUUUUAUCUCAAUGAAAUCAUUUGAGAGCAAAGGAGACAAAGUCCUUAGGGCAGUCUGGAGAAGGAAGAUGACACACAGAGAAAUAAUUAAGUUCCCUGUUCUAUUGUUUCUUUGCUUAAAGUCAUACCCUUUCAUAUUGACUUUUCAUGCAAAUAAUCAGAGUUACAGAUAGUCUUAAAGCCUGCAAUUGGGACAGGCAAUUUCAUUCCUAAACAAUCUGGUUGUUAAGUGAAACAUCACAUGACAAUGCCAGAUUUAUGGCAUCCCUUCCAUUGCAAUCAGUAGGUGCAACAUCACACAACCAUGACUUGGGACUUAACUGCUGGGUUGCCCAUUGACUUUGCUUGUGGGAAGCUGGUUGUGAAGUGCCCAAAUGGCAAUCAGGUAAUCGCAGGGACACAUGAGAGCUGUAAUUUUGAGGACUAGUCAUAAAGUUACUUUUUCAGUCAUGUUGUAAGUUUAAAUAUUCAUUAAACAGUCAGAGCAGUCAUUAACCAAGGAUUACCCGAAUAUGCAUUUGGCCUCAGAAUAGCACCAGUCUGCACCAUUUACACAGAGCAUUCUUCAGUAUAUAAAGACUACAACAGCUACGACUUCCCCGUGGGUGCAAAUGAGGUCUGACAUAACCUUGUGAACAAAAAUCAGUGAAAUCCAAAAUAUGGUAACUGUUGAAAAGUCAACUGGAAUCUUUAAAUAAUUUGCAAGUGCAGACCAUAAACCUAGUCAGAUAGACAUGUUAAUUUAUUUUCACAAAAAAAGAAAAAAAGUUACAUCUUUGUGAGGUUAGCAAAAGGGAACCCGUUGGUCCACUGGAGUUCCAUCAUCUGCAUGGCUGAGUGGGGAUUUCAGUCUAGAUCUAUCAAGAUUUAAUAUGUUGAACUCUAACCCUGGACUUGCUUUUUAAACUACUAAAGCACCACUGACAUAAUUUCAGAUUUCAUUAUGACAUAUUCAUAAGACGCUGCCUGGCAGUCAUGCAGACUAUCAAUUGACUGGUAAUAAUUUUCUGCCAUGUCAGGAACAGUCUUUUCAACUCUGACAUCCUCUUAAGAUAUUAGAUAUCAGAAAUUAAAUUUGACACAUGUACUAGAACAAACAAUAAUUCUUCUGUAAUUACAACUUUUUUUAUCAGAAAGAUAGCUUGAUCACACUAGAUAGAUAAUUGUUGGUAAAUCGACUCUCAUUGCUUAUUUAUUUAUUAAAUUUAUAUGCCGCUCAGGAUAAGAUAACUCUGGGGGCUUCCUUGGAUCACAAGCAGAUUUUGUUUUGUUUCUGAGCCUAUGAAUAGAGCUGAGUGUAAAAUAGAAAAUUCUUACUCAUUUAAAUCUCAGUACAAAUAUAAAUAAACAUUUAAAAGAACA